GAUGAACGCUAGCUACAGGCUUAACACAUGCAAGUCGAGCGACCGGCGCACGGUUGAGUAACACGUAUCCAACCUGCCCUUUACUCGGGGAUAGCCUUUCGAAAGAACGAUUAAUACCCGAUAUAAAGGAUGGGGAUGCGUUCCAUUAGGUUGUUGGUGAGGUAACGGCUCACAAAGCCUUCGAUGGAUAGGGGUUCUGAGAGGAAGGUACCCCACAUUGGAAAUGCGACACGGUCCAAACUCGGACGGGGUGCAGCAGUGAGGAAGAUUGGUCAAGGGGCGCUAGCCUGAAACAGCCAAGUAGCGUGAAGAAUGAAGGCUUAUGGGACGUAAACUUCUUGUAAAUAAGAAUAUGUAUUAUAUGAAUAAGGAUCGGCUAACUCCGGGCCAGCAGCCGCGGUAAUUC
rnacentral:rRNA from 1 species